GUCCAAUCGGAAACAGUCCAAGUCCAACAUCUCGGACAUACCACAGCAAGAUGGGCCAUUUGUACAGGCUACAUAAGUAGGAAACUGUUUAUAUGGAAAAUCAUCUGCUGGGCUUUUACCAUGGGCUCUGAUACCAUAUUAGUGAUGGGCCUAACUCACACCCAAAAGCUAGCUCAAGAGUGGAGGUUUACCCAUACACUUAUAUAUUGCCCAAGGACCAUCAUCCCACACGAUGUGGGACUCUAAUAGCCCCUCUCGAGAUGUGGAUGGGAAACGGUCCAAUCGGAAACAGCCCAAGUCCAACAUCUCGGACAUACCACAGCAAGAUGGGCCAUUUGUACAUGCUACAUAAGUAGGAAACUGUUUAUAUGGGAAAUCAUCUGCUGGGCUUUUACCAUGGGCUCUGAUACCAUAUUAGUGAUGGGCCUAACUCACACCCAAAAACUAGCUCAAGAGUGGAGGUUUACCCAUACACUUAUAUAUUGCCCAAGGACCAUCAUCCCACACGAUGUGGGACUCUAAUACAAUCCGUGAAGUGAAGGUUCAAGCGCCUUGCCCUUUUUGUUUCUUGCGCAGCAAGUUUUGCAAGCCCUAAUUAUUUUCACUUUUAUAUUUAUCCGAGAGGUAUGGUGGACCUCCGUUGAUUUAUUGAUGUGCCAAGAUGUGGCCGAGACUCUGUUGCUUUCAGAUCCUUUUUUUGGUUUCUCCAAUAUGGCAAAGGUGAGGGCUAUUCCGUUAAAUCCCGAGCUAGUUUAGUACUACUAUCAUGGAAAGUCUAGUUUCGAAACAUGAUCCGUCUCUGUGAAUUGAGUCUGUUUGAGAGUCUUGUUUGUUUAUUAUUAUUAUUGAUUGUUAAACUGAAAAUAGGAUAAUAGAGGAUUCAACAAUUGAAUGAAUUGAGUGAUGUUAAAACUGCUAUAUAUAUGUAUAUAAAUAUAUAAGUCCAUUUGUGUGGAUUGCGGGUACACAAAGACGUUUGUGUAAGUCGCCGACGAGCAGUGUGAUUGCGGGUGCACAGAGACGUUUGUGUAAGCCGCCGACGAGCAGUGUGAUUGCGGGUGCACAAAGACGUUUGUGUAAGCCGCCGACGAGCAGUGAGAUUGCGGGGGUACAAAGACGUUUGUAUCAGUCGCCGACGCGCAGAUUGUAGGAGUGCAGAGAUGGACUACUGUACGCCUAGAGAUAUACAUAUAUCCUUAUGAGGAAAUGCGGGGUGCAUAGAGUAGCAUGUACUAUCAGCGCAUUGGAUGUUUUAUGUGGUGUAUUAGACACUGUGUUUGUUUCGUGCUAGAGCUAUGCCUACAUGGUCAUAGUGCUAUGUACUGAGUUAGUGGUUUGCGGUUUAGCAUCCCAUACCUCACGGAGUAACUCCCCUGUUAUUCACCCCUCUUUCUUCCCUUUGCAGGUGAGCAUGACGAGUAGUUGGAUAUGUGGACGAAUUGGUGUCUUGGGAUCAUUGUAUUUUAUUUUGGUUUUAGUUAACUUUUUGAUUUAAUGUAUUUUGUUUUAAAUUACAAACUUGUUUUAUUUAGAAAUUAUUUGAUUAAAAUGUUUGACAUUUUAUUCGGUUUUAUAAAUCGGUUUAAUUUGGUAUUUUUCGGUUAGUAACACGUCGGUCUCGAGAAAGGAGGAGACGGGUGUUACAACAGACCUUAGCAAUAUGGGUUUUGGACUUGCAGAUAUAACAGCCUUCGCCAGGUUUCAUACCAGGAACUCGGAGAGGAUGCCUCGUGGAGGAGCAUUUUCUCAUGGGAUCAGGUUUCUUUUUCUUGAACAAGCUCUUCUUCUUGUCGGGAUCCUUUGGCGACGUUGGUUCUGGUUUUGGAAACUGCUCCGGGUGAGCUUCCGCGCAAGUCUUUGCCUUUGGCUCACCAUUGUUCAAUUCAGCAGAGAAAGAGAGAGAGAGAGAGAGAGAGAGAGAGGAAGCCGAUUAAUUUCAACCGGCGACGAUAGAGUCGGUGAAAGACGCAGAGGUUUCUAGCGCAUGCUUAGACCACCCGCAUCGGGGGUUUAUGAGAGAGUCAUGGGCUCGGUAUCAUAGGCCUUUUCGAUUAAAAGAAAUGAAUAAAUGGGUUUCAACCCGUGAACCGGGUCUUCCAAGUGAGCCCGUAUGAUACGGGGUCAUGCCACGCGGCGCAGAGGGAAUGGCUACGCGAUCUCGCGUGUUGAGUGAGAAAAAAGGGUAUCGCGUGAAAGAUCCCAUUUUCUCUUCUCUCUUCGAAAUCUAGGGUUUCUCCGUCUCUGAGGCGAUUUCGUGUCGGAGUCCAGAGCCGGAGAUUUUCUCGAUCAAUUCGUCGUCGGAGUCACUCGUAAACGCUCUCAGGUGAGUCUCAAUCACUCCGGGACGAGAUAGCUUCGAUUUGAUCUCGAGAGGUUUCUAGGUUAAGGAUGUCGAUUUGGGGGUUUCGUCUUAGGGUUGUAAAUCGAGAAGGGGGUUUCGAUUUCUUGGUUAAAAUCGACAUACGGUUUCCUUUUAGGGUUCGUUUAUCGUGGAUUUCAUUUCAAUUUGGGGGUUUCGUGUAAGGGUUUGAAAUCUAAAAGGGGGUUUUAAUUUCUUCGUUUAAAUCAACAUACGGAUUUCUUUUAUUGUUUGUUCAUCGUGGAUUUGAAUUGGAUUUGGGGGUUUUUAGUUAGUCUUUCAAUUUUUUUUUUUUUGUUUCUCGGUUGCUUCUGUUCUAAUUAUUUGUUUUCCUGAUACAGAUGGAUCCCGAAGCAGAGAUAAGAGACACAAAGAGAAGAAAUGAGCACAUCGAUAUGCUUUCAUACGUGUGUGAUUCAGAACACGGGAUUCCGACGAGGUGUCCCUGUGGUGGGAGUAUAAUUCACGAGGUUCGUGGGAAGGAGGAAUACGACACUCUCCCCGGCAAGCGUUUCUUCACCUGCAUAAACUACGAGGCUGAUGGUUUUCAUUAUCGUCAGCCUUGGGUCAUUGGUGUGCAGGAGCAUAUCGAACGGCUCACAAGUCGUGUGGAGGAGGUGGAGGCGGUGAUCAAGUGGCUGCCGGAAGUGAAUAAUAAGAUUAAGAGUCUGGAGGUAAUCUGACUUCCCACUUUUGAAUUUUGUUUUGUAAUUUUUUUCUUAUAUUUUAUACCGUGACUAACACCAUCUCAUUGUCAUUUCCUUGUACAGGCAGAGGUGAAAGCCCUCACUGUGGAGGUUGAUAGGCUCACUGGGAAGGUUUAUAACCUGACCGUGCAGGUGGAUCACUUGGAGAAAUGCUGCUUCGACUGAAAACACAAAGGUCACGGGUUCAAGGAGGAGGAUGCGUGGAUGGUUGCAGGUCUCUGUUUCUUUAUGUAUCAAAUCAAGUCACGGGUGGUAAUGUAGUAGUAGGUGGUUGUAGUGGUAGGUUAUGUAAGAUGGAAUCACGGGAGAGUGUAGUGUUUUUCAACUUUCUACACUCGUUUUAUGUAUCAAAUUAAGGGUAUGUCCCCACAGCUUUGCUUUUGUACUCACGGGUGUAUGUACCCACAUGCUACUUGCUUCAAUGUUUUUCUAUAUAAAUGACUAUGUGUUUCAUUCUAUUUAUCUCAUUCAUGCAUUUUAUCAAAACUAUCUUACCAUCAGCCAUACUUUUAUCUAAACUAUCUCACCAUCUCGUAAUCACCAACCAACACCACGAGAAUCACAACAACAAUCAAACAAGAAUCACCAAUCAACACAAGGAAUCAACUCUACUACUCCUCAACCCCACGGAUCAUCUCUACCAUUCAACAGAGGUAAGUUGAAAACCCAAAAUUCUAAGUAAUGAACACAUCCUUAAAUAAUGAAAUUCUAUAUUCUAUAUUAUCAGAUUUAAAACCAAAAAAAGGUUUAUAAUUUACUAAAGUUAAAACCCAAAAAAAAAGAUUCAAGAGAAAUAAACCGAUUUAUAAUUUUCAUGAAAAUAUUUACUAAGUUUAAGACCAAAAUAAUAAAAAAAAAAAACUAAGGUUAAAACCGAAAUAAAAUU